rnacentral:rRNA from 1 species
UACGUAGGGUGCGAGCGUUAAUCGGAAUUACUGGGCGUAAAGUGUGCGCAGGCGGCCGAGCAAGUCGAGUGUGAAAGCCCCGAGCUUAACUUGGGAACUGCGCUCGAAACUACUUGGCUAGAGUGUGGCAGAGGGAGGUGGAAUUCACGUGUAGCGGUGAAAUGCGUAGAGAUGAUGGAGGAACACCGAUGGCGAAGGCAGCCUCCUGGGCCAACACUGACGCUCAUGCACGAAAGCGUGGGGAGCAAACAGG